ACGCUGGCGGCAGGCCUAACACAUGCAAGUCGAGCGGUAGAGAGAAGCUUGCUUCUCUUGAGAGCGGCGGACGGGUGAGUAAUGCCUAGGAAUCUGCCUGGUAGUGGGGGAUAACGUUCGGAAACGGACGCUAAUACCGCAUACGUCCUACGGGAGAAAGCAGGGGACCUUCGGGCCUUGCGCUAUCAGAUGAGCCUAGGUCGGAUUAGCUAGUUGGUGGGGUAAUGGCUCACCAAGGCGACGAUCCGUAACUGGUCUGAGAGGAUGAACAGUCACACUGGAACUGAGACACGGUCCAGACUCCUACGGGAGGCAGCAGUGGGGAAUAUUGGACAAUGGGCGAAAGCCUGAUCCAGCCAUGCCGCGUGUGUGAAGAAGGUCUUCGGAUUGUAAAGCACUUUAAGUUGGGAGGAAGGGUUGUAGAUUAAUACUCUGCAAUUUUGACGUUACCGACAGAAUAAGCACCGGCUAACUCUGUGCCAGCAGCCGCGGUAAUACAGAGGGUGCAAGCGUUAAUCGGAAUUACUGGGCGUAAAGCGCGCGUAGGUGGUUAGUUAAGUUGGAUGUGAAAUCCCCGGGCUCAACCUGGGAACUGCAUUCAAAACUGACUGACUAGAGUAUGGUAGAGGGUGGUGGAAUUUCCUGUGUAGCGGUGAAAUGCGUAGAUAUAGGAAGGAACACCAGUGGCGAAGGCGACCACCUGGACUGAUACUGACACUGAGGUGCGAAAGCGUGGGGAGCAAAC
rnacentral:rRNA from 1 species